rnacentral:rRNA from 1 species
UGGCUCAGAACGAACGCUGGCGGCAGGCCUAACACAUGCAAGUCGAGCGAGAUCUUCGGAUCUAGCGGCGGACGGGUGAGUAACGCGUGGGAAUAUGCCCUUCUCUACGGAAUAGCCUCGGGAAACUGGGAGUAAUACCGUAUACGCCCUUAGGGGGAAAGAUUUAUCGGAGAAGGAUUAGCCCGCGUUGGAUUAGGUAGUUGGUGGGGUAAUGGCCUACCAAGCCUACGAUCCAUAGCUGGUUUGAGAGGAUGAUCAGCCACACUGGGACUGAGACACGGCCCAGACUCCUACGGGAGGCAGCAGUGGGGAAUCUUAGACAAUGGGGGCAACCCUGAUCUAGCCAUGCCGCGUGAGUGAUGAAGGCCUUAGG